UCCCCAUCUCUCCAGCUCUCUAUCUCUCUAUAAAAGCUAUGUGGGCUCUAGGGUUUUCUUAUCCAUACAUGUAGAAGGUAGAAGAAGUGUGUUUAUUACCCUAGGGUUUGAGAUGUGUUCUUGUUUUAGGGUUUUAGAUUUAGAGUUCCCUCACCCUAGGGUUUUGAAGAGGGAGGAAGAGAAAUCAGAGUGAGAUGACUGGCUGUUUUUUGAGGGGAAUGUUGGCUGGCUCGAGGCAUUCACAUAAGAAGAAGAUAUAUAAGUGAAGGUGUCGGACCAGGCUUCAUUCCUCUCAAAUAUACAUGUUCUAUCUAUAUGCAUUUGAAUCUCUUCCGUAUGCCUCUAGGGUUGAUGAUGUAUAGACUGUUGUUCAGUCACGGCCAUCUAGGGUUUUUGUCUCCUUUUGUUUUCCUGGAAAAUUCUAAGAUUUUAGGUUUAGAUCCUUAUGGGUUUUUCAUUUCCCCAUCGACCAUCUCCCAACUCUCUCAAGGUUGCAACUCUCAGGUAAUUGAUUAAUGGCAAACCCUCUUUCUCUCUCUCUCUCCCUCUCUCUCUCUCUCUCUCUCUCUCUCUCUCUCUCUCUCUCUUUCUCUGUCUUUUUGAAGGUUGCAUGGAAUCAGUUCCAACCACUUGUUGAUAAUGAAAACAAACACAGAUCACUAGAUGCCAUUGACUUUGAAAGGUCUUUCCUUUUUGUGAAGUUGAAGUUUCUCCCCCAGCAAGAACACAGCCUUUGCUCAUCAACACUUUCCCAAUUGGAAUGGGUCUUUGAUUUCUAGUUAUGUUGCUGCAAACAGAAAGAUUUGCUUCUCCAAAUGACCAAAAUGAUCAGUUGCUGAGAAAGAUUUAUUGAAGAGGACUCUGAAAACCAAAAAUCUUGCAUCAUAUUAAUUGUGGAUGUCAGUCAAGUUUCCUAGGCAUCUAGGGUUUCUGAACAACAUACCUAUAAGAUCCUAGCCUGUUUUUCUUUUUCUCUCUCUCUCUCUUUUUUUUUUUGUUAUUUACACAUUAAUUUCUCCAUACUCAUGUAAACUUCUCUCUAUCUUCCAUUUCUUUUUUUUCUUUCUGAUGUAGUUUUUCUUGAGAAUGUUCAACUAGACAAGCUCUGUACUAGAUACAUUCAUGUCUGAUCUUCGAAACCAAUAAUUUAUGCAAUAAUGCUUUCACUUGUGAUGAAAGCAAAGCUCUUGAAAUGGAAAAUAAA